AUGGAAGAAGUGGAAAAGAGGGCUUUGCUAUCCUACCCUGGAACACCACCAAGCCAUUGGUUCAGAUAUGUGGAUGACACCUGGGUGAAAAUCAAAUCUCAGGACGUUCUACAUUUCACAGAUCACAUUAACUCGGUGGAUCGACACAUCAAAUUCACCAGGGAGGAUAUGAAAAGUGGCAGGUUAGCCUUCUUAGACUGUGAGAUUUCCAUCAGUAAUGGGGGACAUCUAAAAGCUGACGUGUACCGUAAACCUACACAUACGGAUCAGUAUCUAAGGUUUGACUGUCAUCAUCCACUGGAGCACAAACUGGGUGUCAUCAGGACGCUACAACACAGAGCGAACACCAUCCCCACUGACACAGCGGCCAGGGAGGCAGAAGAACAGCACAUCAAGAAGGCCCUGAGUAAAUGUGGUUAUCCCAGCUGGACUUUUGUCAAAGCGGGAAAGGCACCUAAAGAAAGCUCCAGCCGAUCCAGGAGAGAAGGACAACCGCUGCCCAAGCGAAAACCUGUAGUGAUCCCAUAUGUGUCAGGAGUAUCGGAGCAGUUGAGACGCAUUUUUUCUAAACACCGGGUCUCUGUGGCUUUUAAACCCCAAAACACGCUGCGCCAAAAACUGGUCCACCCCAAGGAUCGGGUCCCCCGACACAAACAGAGUAACAUAGUGUAUGCUGUUAAGUGCCAGGAGGAUUGCCAGGAUUUAUACAUCGGGGAAACCAAACAACCUCUAGCGAAGCGGAUGGCACAACACAGAAGAGCAACCUCAUCAGGCCAGGACUCUGCAGUCUAUUUACACCUACAGGCCAGUGGACACUCUUUCAAUGAUGAGGAUGUACACAUCCUGGACAGGGAGGAACGCUGGUUUGAGCGCGGAGUCAAGGAGGCCAUUUACGUGAAAAGGGAAAGACCAUCUCUGAAUCGAGGAGGGGGCCUAAGGGUACAUCUGUCACCAUCUUACAAUGCUGUGAUUGCAGCCAUUCCCCAACUCUCUGUGAAUGGUACUCAUGGCCAUUGA
rnacentral:lncRNA from 1 species